rnacentral:rRNA from 1 species
AGAGUUUGAUCAUGGCUCAGGAUGAACGCUAGCGGCAGGCCUAAUACAUGCAAGUCGAACGGAGCAGCAAUGCUUAGUGGCAAACGGGUGCGUAACGCGUAAGCAACCUGCCCACAACCGGGGGAUAGCCUGGCGAAAGCGGGGGUAAACCCGCAUGGUUCCACCGGAUCACCUGGUUUGGUGGAUAAACAUUUAUGGGUUGUGGAGGGGCUUGCGUCUGAUUAGGUAGUUGGUGGGGUAGUGGCCCACCAAGCCGAUGAUCAGUAGGGGUUCUGAGAGGAUUGGCCCCCACAUGGGUACUGAGAGACGGACCCAACUCCUACGGGAGGCAGCAGUAGGGAAUAUUGGGCAAUGGGCGCAAGCCUGACCCAGCCAUGCCGCGUGGAGGAAGAAGGCGCUCAGCGUUGUAAACUUCUUUUACUCAGGAAGAACGAUGUCCCUGCGGGGGUAGUUGACGGUACUGAGGGAAUAAGCACCGGCUAACUCCGUGCCAGCCGCCGCGGUAAUUC